rnacentral:rRNA from 1 species
GUGGGGAAUAUUGGACAAUGGGCGAAAGCCUGAUCCAGCCAUGCCGCGUGUGUGAAGAAGGUCUUCGGAUUGUAAAGCACUUUAAGUUGGGAGGAAGGGCAGUAAGUUAAUACCUUGCUGUUUUGACGUUACCGACAGAAUAAGCACCGGCUAACUUCGUGCCAGCAGCCGCGGUAAUACGAAGGGUGCAAGCGUUAAUCGGAAUUACUGGGCGUAAAGCGCGCGUAGGUGGUUUUGUAAGUUGGAAGUGAAAUCCCCGGGCUCAACCUGGGAACUGCCUCCAAAACUGCAUGACUAGAGUACGGUAGAGGGUAGUGGAAUUUCCUGUGUAGCGGUGAAAUGCGUAGAUAUAGGAAGGAACACCAGUGGCGAAGGCGACUACCUGGACUGAUACUGACACUGAGGUGCGAAAGCGUGGGGAGCAAACAGGAUUAGAAACCCGUGUAGUCC